AGAGUUUGAUCAUGGCUCAGGGUGAAUGCUGGCGGCGUGGAUAAGUCAUGCAAGUCAAGGGGGCCCGCAAGGGCAACCGGCAGACGAGGUAGUAACACGUAGGUAGAUCCCCCGAAGUCGGGCAUAGCCAUCCGAAAGGAUGGGUAAUUCCCGAUAGUCCCGAAAGGGUAAAGGUUUUUCGCUUCGGGAGUUGCCUGCGUAGUAUCAGCUAGUUGGUAGGGUAACGGCCUACCAAGGCUACGACGCUUAGGGGAGCUGAGAGGCUGACCCCCACCGAUGGAACUGCGACACGGUCCAUACUCCUACAGGAGGCUGCAGACGAGAAUAUUCCGCAAUGGACGAAAGUCUGACGGAGCGACGCCGCGUGAUCGAUGAAGUGCUUCGGUACGUAAAGAUCUUUUAUCGGGGACGAAGUUUAUUGACGGUACCCGAUGAAUAAGGGGCUCCUAACUCUGUGCCAGCAGGAGCGGUAAUACAGAGGCCCCAAGCAUUACCCGGAAUCACUGGGCGUAAAGGGUGUCUAGGCGGCCAUAUUAGUCUUUCGUUAAAUGUCCGGGCUCAACCUGGUCACCGCGAGAGAAACGGAAUGGCUCGAGGGCGUGAGAGGUGCACGGAACUCAUGGUGGAGGGGUGAAAUCCGUUGAUAUCAUGGGGAACACCAAAGGCGAAGGCAGUGCACUGGUACGUUCCUGACGCUCAAACACGAAAGCCAGGGUAGCGAACGGGAUUAGAUACCCCGGUAGUCCUGGCCCUCAACGUU
rnacentral:rRNA from 1 species